CAGCAGCCGCGGUAAUACCGGCGGCCCGAGUGGCGGUCACUAUUAUUGGGCUUAAAGCGUCCGUAGCCGGGUUGGGAAGUCCUCCGGGAAAUCUGGCCGCUUAACGGUCAGAAUGCCGGAGGAUACUCCCAGCCUAGGGAGCGGGAGAGGCCGAGGGGAUUCCCGGAGUAGGGGGGAAAUCCUAUAAUCCCGGGAGGACCACCUGUGGCGAAGGCGCUCGGCUGGAACGCGUCCGACGGUGAGGGACGAAGGCCAGGGGAGCAAACCGGAUUAGAUACCCAGGUAGUCCUGGCUGUAAGCGAUGCGGACUUUGUGUCGGACAAGCUAUGAGCUUGUCCGGUGCCGGAGGGAAACCGUUAAGUCCGCCGCCUGGGGAGUACGGCCGCAAGGCUGAAACUUAAAGGAAUUGGCGGG
rnacentral:rRNA from 1 species